AUAUCAAUAAGCGGAGGAAAAGAAACCAACAGGGAUUGCCCUAGUAACGGCGAGUGAAGCGGCAAUAGCUCAAAUUUGAAAUCUGGCUUCCUUUUUUAUAGGGGUCCGAGUUGUAAUUUGCAGAGGAUGCUUUUGGCACAGCACUGAACAAGUUCCCUGGAACGGGACGCCACAGAGGGUGAGAGCCCCGUCUAGUCAGACGCCUAGCCUCUAUAAAGCUCCUUCAACGAGUCGAGUAGUUUGGGAAUGCUGCUCAAAUUGGGAGGUAUAUGUCUUCUAAAGCUAAAUACCGGCUAGAGACCGAUAGCGCACAAGUAGAGUGAUCGAAAGAUGAAAAGCACUUUGAAAAGAGGGUUAAAUAGUACGUGAAAUUGCUAAAAGGGAAGCGCUUACAACUAGACGUAGGGGUAUUCAAUCACCUAGUGUUUUUUACUAGGGCAUUUGGGUAUAUUUCCUAGGCUAGCAUCGGUUUGCUAUGGGGGAGAAAGACGCUAGGAAUGUAGCCCCCCUCGGGGGGUGUUAUAGCCUAGUGUGUAAUGCCCUAUAGCAGACCGAGGUCUGCGCAUUUUACUGCAAGGAUGCUGGCGUAAUAGUUGUUAGCGACCCGUCUUGAAACACGGACCAAGGAGUCGUCCUCGUAUGCGAGUAUUUGGGUGUAAAACCCCUGUGCGAAAUGAAAGUGAACGUAGGUGAGAGCCUGUAAUAUGGUGCAUCACCGACCGAUCCUGAUGUUCUCGGAUGGAUUUGAGUAAGAGCAUACGGGGCCGGACCCGAAAGAAGGUGAACUAUGCCUGCGUAGGGUGAAGCCAGAGGAAACUCUGGUGGAGGCUCGCAGCGGUUCUGACGUGCAAAUCGAUCGUCAAACGUGGGCAUGGGGGCGAAAGACUAAUCGAACCUUCUAGUAGCUGGUUUCCGCC
rnacentral:rRNA from 1 species